GCUGGCGAUUAGCGCGCGGGGGCCACACCCGUUCCCAUUCCGAACACGGCCGUUAAGCCCCGCAGCGUCGAUGGUACUGCCACUGAGAGGUGGUGGGAGAGUAGACCAUCGUCAGCC
rnacentral:rRNA from 1 species